GUAAUAGAAAGGCAAGACAGGAGGCGGGUCCAGCAUGGUCUCCACGGUAACCCAUGGCGGGUUGGAGUGAGGGAGAGCCUCCUUGUACCCAGAUCCAGAUGCCCUGAUGGGAGGCGUUUGAAAUUUUGCAGGACAAGCCCCCCAGAGACCACAUGUGCCUGUCCAUUUGUGCCUUACUCCUGUGUUUUCCCAUAGGCAUUGUAGCCUUGAUCUUCUCUCUCCAGACAAGGCACAGCAACAAGUGGAAUAACCGAGCCUUGGCAGCUGAGACGUCCCAGCAAGUCUACUACAUGGCAGUCUUGGGGAUUGUCUUGGGAAGCAUCAUCACACUCGCCAUCUUGAUUUUCCUCACGGUGGACUUAUUUUCUCGUUAACCUCCUUUUCAGCAAACCACUAAAAAUAUAUAACAGUGUUACAUA